GACUCCGGGCCCGCCCCGACCAGGAUGGGUAAGAAAGUAAAGAAGGAAGUUGAACCUCCUCCCAAGGAUGUGUUUGACCCGUUAUUAAUUGAAAGCAAAAAAGCAGCAACAGUGGUGCUUAUGCUUAAUUCUCCAGAAGAGGAAAUUUUGGCUAAAGCAUGUGAAGCCAUUUACAAGUUUGCACUAAAAGGUGAGGAAAAUAAAUCAACUCUGCUUGAACUUGGAGCUGUGGAACCUUUGUCCAGACUGCUUUUACACGAAGAUAGAAUUGUACGCAGAAACGCUACCAUGGUGUUUGGAAUCAUGGCUUCUAACAAUGAUUUUAAAAAAUUAUUGAGAGAGUUGGAUAUCAUGAGUUCCGUCAUUGCUCAACUGGCACCAGAAGAAGACGUAGUUAUCCAUGAGUUUGCUAGUCUUUGCCUUGCAAACAUGGCUGUGGAGUAUACCAGCAAAGUGCAAAUAUUUGAACAAGGUGGCCUAGAGCCCCUAAUCAGACUGUUAAGUAGCCCAGACCCUGAUGUUAAGAAGAAUGCUGUUGAAUGCAUCUACAAUCUGGUCCAGGAUUUUCAGAGUCGUGCUGCAGUUCGUGAGUUAAAUGCAAUCCCUCCCUUACUGGAACUCCUAAAAUCUGAAUACCCCAUCAUUCAGUUGUUGGCUCUCAAGACUUUGGGUAUUAUAAGCAAUGAUAAAGAAACUAGAAUAAUACUACAAGAAAAUCAAGGACUGGAUCACCUCCUUAAAAUACUAGAAACUAAGGAAUUUAAUGACCUUCAUGUAGAAGCCCUUGCUGUUAUAGCCAAUUGUCUUGAGGAUAUAGAUACGAUGCAGCUAAUUCAGCAGUCUGGCGGCCUUAAAAAGCUCCUGUCAUUUGCGGAAACCUCCACUGUUCCUGAUAUCCAGAAGAACGCAGCUAAGGCAAUUGCUAAAGCAGCUUCUGAUUCUGAAAACAGAAAAAUUUUGCAUGAACAGGAGGUUGAAAAAUGUCUCAUAGCCCUUUUGGGAAUGGAAAAUGAUGGGACCAGAGUGGCAGCUUCUCAAGCUAUUUCUGCCAUGAGUGAGAAUUUAGCCAGCAAAGAAUAUUUCAACAGCCAAGGGAUUCCCCAGCUGGUUCAGUUGCUAAGCAAUGACAAUGACGAAGUGCGAGAAGCUUCAGCCCUUGCUCUGGCUAAUCUGACAACAGCCAAUCCCGUCAAUGCAAAUGCAGCUGCUGAAGCUGAGGCUAUUGAGCCAUUAAUAAAUGUCCUGUCUUGUAAAAGAGAUGGAGCUGUUGCAAACGCCGCGAUGGUCCUCGCCAACAUGGCUACCCAGGAGCUGCUGCGUCUCAGCAUACAGAGUCACGGUGUUAUGUCUGCAAUGGUAGAACCACUGCAUUCCUCCAAUUUUGCAGUCCAGAGCAAAGUCGCCCUGACUUUGGCUGCAGUCGCCUGCGAUGCUGAUGCAAGGACUGAGUUACGAAAUGCAGGAGGCCUUGAACCCCUUGUCAAGCUCCUCCGCUCCAAGCAUGACGAAGUCAGGCGGCACGCCAGCUGGGCCAUCAUGGUCUGUGCGAGCGACGAGCCGACGGCCCUCAAGCUGUGCAAACUGGGAGCUUUGGAAAUUCUUGAAGAACUUAAUCUAUCCGUAAGGGGCAAAAAUAACUUCAGCGAAGGCGCUCACAGCAAAUUGCUCAAUAACAAUCUUUCUCUCAAGUACAGUCAAACUGGCUACUUAUCUUCAAAUAAUAUAAUUAAUGAUGGAUUCUAUGAUUAUGGCCAGACAAAACCUGGUACCAAAUUCUUGUCUUUGGAAGAAAUCAGUUCCCAAGGACUAACUGAUAGUCGUGCAGUACUCUUAGUUAAUUCGAAAUUUCCGGAAACUACGCCACCUCCAUCUUCUGGAGAUGAUAAGGUACUAGAACAUUAUGGACGUAGCACCUCAUCUUCUUUAAGAAAAUCAAGUAAAGAAAAAGCCAGUACUCCACAGCCAUCUCCUUCGGACGAAAAGCCAGAACUUCUUGGACGAACGAUUACUUCUGUUAGCAAAGGCAGCACUAAGGAAAAAGGACUAAGAAAGGGGAAAGGAAGAAAAGAGGAGGAAAAAAUCAAAGAAGAGGAGGAGAUGCCACUUGCAUUCAAGGUCGCUCCAGCAGCACGUCUUGAAGAGAAAGAAUGGCUCCCACCGGCUGACCCUGAUCUCUGUGAAUAUGUCACUGAGGUGUCCAGAACAAUCCUUCCCAUCACCAACCCGCAGGACCAAAUUCAAGCUCUUGCUCAGUUUGUGGCAGAAAAGAUGGGCGGUCCAAUUGAAAAAGAUGGAUUACAUAAAUUCAGCUGGGAACUUCACAUAAGUGAAAUAGAAUUUGCUCUGAAAUCCAAUGUCAUACCUAUUGGGAAAAUCAAGAAAGGAAUCUUCUACCACCGAGCUUUGCUUUUCAAGGUUUUAGCAGACAAAAUUGGCAUUGGCUCCAGUUUAGUCCGUGGAGAAUACAACCGCGCCUGGAAUGAAAUCAAGUUAGUUAAUGACUCUACUAAAGGAAUCACUGGAUUUCUCCCUCCUCCACAAGUUUAUAUCGUAGACCUAAUGUUUCAUCCCGGUAAUCUGAUGAAGGAAAGAAGUGCAGAGGCACAGCGCUACCAGUUUCUUUAACCUAAUCCAAGAGAUGUUCACAUGGGAAAAUAAUUCGUCAAAGAGGACGUAAGGAAACUUACAACCACCAUGCAUUCAUUCAACUUGAUUGUGCGCUACAGAUUCACACCCAGCUCAGCUGGUGGCUGCUGUAGCAGUUGCUGUGGCUAUCACCGUCCCCAUCCUCAUCGC